rnacentral:rRNA from 1 species
CAGUAGCCGCGGGAAUACGUAGGUGGCAAGCGUUGUCCGGAAUUAUUGGGCGUAAAGGGCUCGCAGGCGGUUUCUUAAGUCUGAUGUGAAAGCCCCCGGCUCAACCGGGGAGGGUCAUUGGAAACUGGGAAACUUGAGUGCAGAAGAGGAGAGUGGAACUCCACGUGUAGCGGUGAAAUGCGUAGAGAUGUGGAGGAACACCAGUGGCGAAGGCGACUCUCUGGUCUGUAACUGACGCUGAGGAGCGAAAGCGUGGGGAGCGAACAGGAUUAGAUACCCGGGUAGUCCCUGUCUCUUAUAC